AUUCUGUCAUGACAGUAUAUGUCUGUGUUUAGGCAGACAAGGCUGUGUGGGCUACAACUCUGGCUCUGAUUUGGCUCUAUGGUUUGCGGCUGGAGGCCCAGGAAGAAUGGCAGUUUGUAGCCAUGAAGGCAGCGUCCUGGAUUCAAGCUCAGAAAGUGGGCUGUGUGUCUCAGUGUGUGCAGGCUGGAAAUGCUCUGCUGGGAUGCCAGGUGCAGCAGAAGACCCUGGGGCUCUGAGGUGACCAUACCUGUCCCUCUGUAGAAUGUGUCAUUAAUUAAAUGUGACAUAAACACAUCGGACUCAUCACUGAUUCAGAUGACAAAUUGUAGUCCUGCCCAGAAAGUUUCCUGUAUUUGUUCCCAAUAAUAAAAUAUUUGUUGUGCUUUCCUUGGAGUUGACUUGGGGCUCUGAGGUGACCAUACCUGAUAGAGUUAAUUUCGAAACACUGUUUAUGACGUAAGAAUAUAUUAAUCAAGUGCCUUGUAUUAAUAAUUAUCAUGUAUGGAUCAUGUGCUUAUGUAAGCAGGAACAUGGCUUUUCUGUGUUUCUGUGUGUUUGUAACUUAGAUUAUUAGGUGCUGACUCCAUGUAGUCUGCAUAUGAGUAAGAGUUAUAUGCGUAAGGAGAGGGACCUUCUGCAUAUGUUUGGGUGAGCUCAGAGGUGAUAAGAAGAGUCGAACUGUGCUUGUCCAACCCUGCGUAAAACUGACAUCCUUGCAUUUCAGAAAGCGCGUUUUGGGAUGACACAAAGGGACUUUUAGUCGAGCGCAGCUGUUCUUGCUGACGUUAGAAUCAUUUAUGGCGUCAGAGUUAGAUAAAUUAGCUAAAUCUUAAGUAUAUAAACCCUGUGCGAUGUUAGUGAAAUUGCUUAACUUUCAUCCUUGUGAUGUGAGUGAGCCCGAUUGCAAUUGUUUGUAAUAAAUAUACUGAUCUACAACUCCGGAGUCCUGAGAUAACUUGAGUGAAAUUUCACCUAACAAUACCUGUCCUUCUGUAGAAUGUGUCAUUAAUUAAAUGUGACAUAAACACAUCGGACUCAUCACUGAUUCAGAUGACAAAUUGUAUUCUUGCCCAGAUAGUUUCCUGCUCUAUUUGUUCCCAAUAAUAAAAUAUUUGUUGUGCUUUCCUUGGA